AUCUUGCUGGAGCACCCUGUAUACCUUAGAUAAUACAUUUUUGGAGGUAUCUGGUUCAGGCAGAAGAGUGGUGAUGGUGGAGAGUAGUGCCAAUCUGGAUUACCAUCCUGCAGCCAGACAAGAUAUGGGUUGCUACUUUCUGUUGCUGAGGAGCUGGUAGUCUGAUAAAUGUCUAGAUGAGUUCACCUGGCCCCACUGCACAAGGACAAACUUAAGAUUUCUGAAGACCUGAGAAUAAAUUUGCUGCUUUUUCACAAGAUCUGGCAUGAUGAGAAUACAUACAUGCUUUAUGUUCUAAAAUCUACAUAGAGCCUCUAGGGAUGUCACAGAAGUUGAAUCUAGGGAAAAAUAAACUGAUUGCGUAGAUGUGCCACGUACGAAAGCAAAUGUUGUACACCUCAACAAAUUACCUCAGUCUUUCUGAUACUGUCACUUGCCUAAGUAGUCUGCAUACAUGAAAACUGAAGUGUCUCUGGAUGUUCUGAUUCUUUGUUUGGCUUUGUUCUGUGACUUUUCAUUUGUGUUAGUACUGAGCUGUUGCACAAAAGUAAACCCUUGUUCUAUUAAAGUAAUGCAGGCUCCAUUAAAAUAGUGUAUGCUCUAGAUAGUGUAUCUUGCUUUCUGAAGAUGAGGAGAUACUAGCUGUGUUAUCAAUACAACUGUCUAAAAUAGGAUACUUGGCCAUGAAUUCUUGCUGUCAGUUUUGGUUUUUGGCUUGUAAUUUUUUUUACAGUAAGGUGAUACUUUGAAUAAAGAUUACUUAGAUAACGUUUUAAGAUUAACAACUAGAUCAAUAUAAUUAGACCUUAAAAAUAUUUCUAGUUUCUGGAACCAUUCAGUUAUUUUCAUUGCCAGAGCAUGACUUGAUGAAAAUUAAAAUCAUAAAGGGUAUACUUCUGCUCUUACUCAGUUCAUUUACUGCUUUCUGAAAGCUGUGUUUAUGGUUCCAAGAACUGCUUUGCUUUUUAUAUUACUGGCUUUAAUUCUAAGUUAUUUUUCCAUUGGAAGGAUUGACAUCAACUCUGUGCAUACCUAUUUGGAUUACACAUGACUAUAUAUAAAUUAUAAAUACCACCAACAAAAAGCAGACAAACACCUAUUAUGUACAUUUGAGGAAAAUAUUGUUAAUUUUUUUAAAAAAAUAGAACAUUAUUUUACUUGCUACAUUGAAUCUGCCUUGUCCUCCCAUUUCCAGUGGCUUAGCUUCCUGGUAACUACAGUGACAUAAUGGAUUGUUUUGGUCCCUGGAGUUUGGUGUCCGUGAUAUACUAGUGUGUACUGAUAACCUUCAGUUUAAGUCUCUAGUGUUUCAUUGUAACUCUUCAUUAUUUUCCUUGAUGCAAUAGAAUGGUAGGUGGCUUGCUUAGAUGUUAUGUUGUGUUUAGUAAAGCUAAUAAAUCAGUGAAUCAGGUUGUUAAUCAUGAUCACCUUUGGGAAAGAGCUAAAAAUUGGAAGGACUGUUCAGUUGGAAACUGAAGACCUGAAGAUUCAUCAAGGCUAUACAUACUGUGUCAUAUUCCAUGUAGCAGUUCAGACUAACAUAAUUUAAGCUCUCUAAUUAGUAUGACUUGUUACCUUCCACAUGUUAAUCUCCAUCACUAUUGCAAAAUAAUUGUAUACCCUAAGAUCCCAGAAGCUGUGUAUGCUUCGCCAGAAAAAUUGCACCUGGUAACUUCUGGAAUACUAAA